rnacentral:misc_RNA from 1 species
UUUAUUGGUUAGGUACAUUGUUGAUUGGUGGUUUAUUUUUAUUUUCACUUCAGUAGUGAUAGGAUAAAAGUUUCAAAACCUAUAAGCAUAAUGGUUAUUGUAAUGGGUUCUGGAUAAUUUUGGUUAGUUUUCCUAUUUCUUAAUGGAAUUUCGUUUAUGUUGUAUCGUACUAUUUUGUUUAUUAGAUUGUUGUGAUUAUUUUUAAUGUCCUGCGUGUUAAUCUUUUUAUGUGUUUUAUGUGUUUAUAUUCAUGUGUUUUUUAACGAUUACUGGAGUUAUAUAGUUGUAAUUGACAGGGUAUGUUGCAUUUUGAAUUUGAGUUACUAUUUGUGUUGCUAGUAGUUGAUAUGGGAAUACUUGGUAUAUUGUGGAAGGUGGCAGCUAAUAAUUCAACUUUCUCCUUCUUUGAAAAGGCUGAUUCAGCCUGGAUUUCUAGAGCUUCGCUGUUCGCUAAAGAACUCAAGUUGCGGACCUGCUGAUCAGUUCUUUUCGUUUCGCUGUCAAGGAAGAACCUUAAUAUACCUAUUCUCAACAAAUGCUAUCGGAUGGAUUAAUAAUUGGCAAUAUAUAUUCGUAAUGAAGACAAAAUUAUAAUUACACUUUAAUAUGACUAUUGUAAAUUUGAUAUUUGUACCGAGAAAUUUAUGCAUAUUGUAUGAUUUUACUCGGACGCCAUAUUUGUUUCAUCUAUAGUCAGUCCAAUGAGUCGAAUUGGUAAUAAAAAAUACACGUGGUAAUAAGCUGUAAUUCGACUGCGCACUGGCCUAACCAAACUUGUCGUUGAACCAAAUAGUUUUUUCUAUGUAUUCGAAGCACGAUUCUUACACAGUUGGCUGAUGUUGCUCGCGACAAUAAGAAAACAAAAAUUAUACAUGCAUAUCAUUUUUUAACUAGCUACAUAUUUGUAAUGACAUUUGUAAUUUCUGUAAUAAUAAUAACGCUGUGAGAUGUACUGCCAGAUAUUCAAGUCAACUUUUACCAAAGGAAGUAGUUAAUUCUUUCUAAGGGAAUAAUGAUCUCAUAGUAAUAAUAAAAAUGAUACCUACAGAUUGUAUCAAAUUAUUCCGUAAAUUAUUUGAACAUAUGAACAAAAUUAAUCGGGAGUUACAAAUACAUAAGGCAAUUUUAUUUGAAAAAUAUGUAUCACGAGAUAUUCCAAAUGAAG